rnacentral:rRNA from 1 species
UGAGGCGCGCCGAGUUUGAUCCUGGCUCAGAACGAACGCUGGCGGCAGGCCUAACACAUGCAAGUCGAGCGAAGUCUUCGGACUUAGCGGCGGACGGGUGAGUAACGCGUGGGAACGUGCCCUUCUCUACGGAAUAGCCCAGGGAAACUUGGAUUAAUACCGUAUACGCCCCUUCGGGGGGAAAGAUUUAUCGGGGAAGGAUCGGCCCGCGUUGGAUUAGGUAGUUGGUGGGGUAACGGCCUACCAAGCCGACGAUCCAUAGCUGGUUUGAGAGGAUGAUCAGCCACA